rnacentral:ncRNA from 1 species
GGUCAAGCUACUAAGGGCGUACGGUGGAUGCCUAGGCGCUAAGAGUCGAAGAAGGGCGCGGUUAACAGCGAAAUGCCACGGGGAGUCGUAAGCAGGCUUCGAUCCGUGGAUACCCGAAUGGGGCAACCCAGCCGGAGUCAUAUCCGGUUAUCUUUAGCUGAAUCCAUAGGCUAAAGAGGACAACCCGGGGAACUGAAACAUCUAAGUACCCGGAGGAAGAGAAAGAAUCAUCGAUUCCCUAAGUAGCGGCGAGCGAACGGGGAAGAGCCCAAACCGAUUCAGAGGUCAGAGGUCAGAAGUCUGAAGUCAGAGUUGGAUGUCGGCAUAAAUAAGCAACAGCAACGUUGAGCAACAUUAAAAAAGCUUAACCCGCAAGAACUGACAUGCAUCCGACAUCGGACAUCCGGUUUCCGACCUCUGAGUCGGGG